UUGUAAUCCCAGUACUUGGGAACAUGUGU
rnacentral:piRNA from 1 species